AGAAACAGAAAUUAUCUAACAUCGGUGGCUUAACAUGUAGUGCUAUUGCAAAGGGUAUGCUUUCAAAAGUGAUGUCAAAUAAAGUUAUGAGUUUUUUUAAUAGGGCUGGAACAAAUAAGCUUAGUUUCAGAAAGACCAAUCUGAUGAAGAUUCUGUGUGACUGUUUACCUGAUUCGUACAGCGAAAAAGACCUUCAAAAUGCUGUUGGAAGUAUUUUAAAACAUGCACCUGACAGAAAAGAGGGCGGAGGACGCCAAAAGUCGAUUUUUGGAUACGAACAAGAGGAAGAAUAAGAUUUUUAAAAAUAAUAAUAUAUAUAAAUUCUUUCCAAAAACAAAUUAAAAAGUUCGUACUUA